ACUCAGUGAUGAACAUAAAAAAGACAAGCAUAUGGCUGAACUUGGUGAUGUCAUCUUCCUACUGAGAAGU
ensembl:snoRNA SNORD27 Small nucleolar RNA SNORD27